rnacentral:rRNA from 1 species
UGAUAUACGCUCGUCUCAAAGGUUAAGCCAUGCAUGUCUAAGUACAAGCUUCCUAGAAAGUGAAACCGCAUAAGGCUCAGCAUAACAGCUAUAAUUUACAAGAUCCUCAUCCAAACAGUUACUUGGAUAACUGUGGAAAAGCCAGAGCUAAUACAUGCAUUAUGCCGGGACUGUUGGCCUCCGGGUCGGCGGAACUGGUGCACUUAUUAGUUAAACCAAUCGCCUCCGGGCGCUUUGAGUUGAAAUCUGGAUAAGGAUGCCGAUCGUACGGUCGCUUGCGACUGACGACAGAUCUUUCAAAUGUCUGCCCUAUCAACUAUUGAUGGUAGUGUAGAGGACUACCAUGGUUGCGACGGGUAACGGGGAAUCAGGGUUCGAUUCCUGAGAGGGAGCCUGAGAAAUGGCUACCACAUCCAAGGAAGGCAGCAGGCGCGUAAAUUACCCAAUCCCGGCACGGGGAGGUAGUGACGAGAAAUAACAAUAUGGACCUCUCUAACGAUGGUCCAUAAUUGGAAUGAGUUGAGCAUAAAUCCUUUUGCAAGGAUCAAGUAGAGGGCAAUUCUGGUGCCAGCAGCCGCGGUAAUUCCAGCUCCACUAGCGUAUAUUA